UCCUGACAAUAGGUUUUACUUUCAUGAAAACAGUGACUGUGACAUCAGAAAGUUAUGGAUGACUAGAGAACAGUAGUCAUCAAAAGUCUUUCAGAAAUUAUCAACAGUGCUUCUCUGGGAAAAACUGAGUUUCCCAACAAAAUGAUCAUUCUCUUAUGGCUUGGAAGAUCUCAGGAGGAAGAGACUUUGAAUCAAGGACACCAAUCUAUGCAGCAAAACAUCCAUCCCAGGAAUAAGGCAAAAUUCUUCAACUGAAAACUUCGCAAGUGGAUACCCCCUGAAGGGUGAAAGUGAGGUGCAACAGAGGACUUAGUUCUUAUUUGUGUCCAGAUGGUAACAAUUUGUAUGUUUUUUUUUUUGUUUUUUUUUUUUUUUUUAUUAUGGUAGUGGAAAGAAAGGCAACUAGGACAAAAGUUUCCAGUGUUGCAGUGAAAGAGUUAUUUUAGAACUUAUAGCAGACUCAGCUCCAACGUAGCUAGCAAACUUCAUGGAGGUAAGAUCUGUAAUAUUUUUCUUUGUCUUCAACAGGAUACACUGGAAAUUUCAAAGACUAAAAGUAUAGAGGAAGAUUCUUCCUGAUUGUUUGGUUUGUUGAAAGAGUAGAAAAGAGAAAGAACAUUUAUUUGCAAACAAUUAGAACCACUUUCAUUCUAAUAGAUAAGUCUAUUCAUUAUCUCCCUAAUGCAUUUAAACUAUUCAUAUCCUGGAAUAAUG
rnacentral:lncRNA from 1 species